AUGUGCACUUAUCACAAUUGAAAUUACUUGGAGGGAGAGAAAGACUUCAUACAGGAUGCUGUGCUGCUUGUGAGUGGCCAUGCAGAAUUUAACCGUCCUCUUGUUUUACUUCAGUCUUCUGUCCUUUCAACAACUUGCAGGUUUGUGACAGAGGGCAAAAUCUGCCUCUUCCAUACAGUGUCAGAGGUUGAGUGUCCAGCAUGAUUUUCUCAGUCUUUUAGGCCAUGGAUAAAUAUGGAGUUUGUUUUUUAUCUCACGAGUUUGAACUAUAUGUGAAAAAGCAGUGAGAUCAACUUGCCACAACAGAUUCCCAUCAUCCUUUCAUGGACAUGUCAGAUGACAGGAUACAGGCGAAAGAGAGACAGAUAAAGAACAGAAGGUCAAGUACAAGGACGAUAAGGAGGAACCAGGACGGACAUCUGGAGAAUCCCACACACCAGGCCUCAUGGACUAUGGACUCAUCAAACUAUUGAUGGAAAGUCCCUGGCAACUGAACUGGACCUGCAAAAAAGGACCAACCAGAAUAAACCCCAAGAACUCAGGUCCAAUGAAGAGAUAACAAGUGACUAUGGGAGGGGAAUUGAUAAGGGUAUAAAAGUUACUGUUUUGCCUGUUGCGCUCGCGGGCCGUGCGGAGCAAGGGUCUCCCCGGCCGCCCAGCGCGCUGUUUUGCUUAUUUGCACUUUAUAUAAAUCUUAUAAUAAAUUUUUGCUGCUAUAACUCAAUUUAGUUUUAAUUAACUAUAACAUACCGAUGAGUAUAAACUUGAGAAAAGCUAUCUUGACUUUUACAUUUCAGGCCUAGUUCAGAGAGGUGGCAUUUACAAAAGGAAGCACAAACAUAUUUUAACUUAUGAACGGAAUAAAAUUGAUAGAAAAUCUAUGACGUCAUUGGGUAAUAAAAAUACUCAGAGGAGUAUUUUAGUACAGAAUGGCAUAGUGAGAUAGGUUUUAUUCUGUGAAUUCCCUGAGGACACUGUAUCUUCUCACUAAGGAAUAUAUUCUAUAUUCAUAAUUCUUCUGUGACUGUACACUCUCAAUUGCUGUAGUUUUCAAGGGGGUGCCACAUGUGGAACUG